GACAGAGGGUGCAAACGUUGUUCGGAAUUAUUGGGCGUAAAGAGCUCGUAGGCGGCCUGUUGCGUCCGCUGUGAAAGCCCGGGGCUUAACCCCGGGUCGGCAGUGGAUACGGGCAUCACUGGAGUUCGGCAGGGGAGACUGGAAUUCCUGGUGUAGCGGUGAAAUGCGCAGAUAUCAGGAGGAACACCGGUGGCGAAGGCGGGUCUCUGGGCCGAUACUGACGCUGAGGAGCGAAAGCGUGGGGAGCGAACAGG
rnacentral:rRNA from 1 species